GACGAACCGUGCGAACGUUGUUCGGAAUCACUGGGCUUAAAGGGCGCGUAGGCGGCUCGACAAGUCGGGGGUGAAAUCUUUCGGCUCAACCGGAAAAGGGCCUCCGAUACUGUCGAGCUCGAGGGAGGUAGGGGCGGACGGAACUUCCGGUGGAGCGGUGAAAUGCGUUGAUAUCGGAAGGAACGCCGGUGGCGAAAGCGGUCCGCUGGCCCUCUACGUGACGCUGAGACGCGAAAGCGUGGGGAGCGAACGAGG
rnacentral:rRNA from 1 species